GAUGAACGCUGGCGGCGUGCCUAAUACAUGCAAGUCGAGCGAACAGACGAGGAGCUUGCUCCUUUGACGUUAGCGGCGGACGGGUGAGUAACACGUGGGUAACCUACCUAUAAGACUGGGAUAACUUCGGGAAACCGGAGCUAAUACCGGAUAAUAUUUCGAACCGCAUGGUUCGAUAGUGAAAGAUGGCUUUGCUAUCACUUAUAGAUGGACCUGCGCCGUAUUAGCUAGUUGGUAAGGUAACGGCUUACCAAGGCAACGAUACGUAGCCGACCUGAGAGGGGGAUAGGCAACACUGGAACUGAGACACGGUCCAGACUCCUACGGGAGGCAGCAGUAGGGAAUCUUCCGCAAUGGGCGAAAGCCUGACGGAGCAACGCCGCGUGAGUGAUGAAGGUCUUCGGAUCGUAAAACUCUGUUAUUAGGGAAGAACAAACGUGUAAGUAACUGUGCACGUAUUGACGGUACCUAAUCAGAAAGCCACGGCUAACUACGUG
rnacentral:rRNA from 1 species